AGCGGGGAGGGGCGUAGGCCUAAAUCCCUAACUCAUAACCUGAAGGUCACAGGUUCAAAUCCUGUCCCCGCAACCA
rnacentral:tRNA from 1 species